CGCCCAGGCUGCCGCGGGGAGGGCGCCAUCUUGGCCCCGCGGAGCGUGACUGUCUCGGCUGGAAGCGUGGGAGGCCGGAGGAUCAGUGACUGGCUGUCGUGGACAUGCUCGCUACACCUCCCGGGGCUUCGCUUCGUUUACUAUUAACUGUCGUUACUCCUCUGUAUCUCGUCAGCAGGGGCUGCCUGCGGUGUUAGAAUUACACGCCCCUGCCACCUGGGCACGGAGCCCAGUCUCCCGGCCCCUCAGUCAGUCCUUGGGUGUAGCUGGAGCAUUUAAGAAAAAUGAAAUAUAGAACUCAGUGCAUGGUUUCCUGGGCCUUUUUAGUGAGUAUCAUUUCUAACAUGUACACAGUAUAACCCGGGCUUAGUGGAUUCCGGGACAGAAAAUGUUGGGAGCUGGGAUAGUCAAGUAAACAAGAAGAAACGGUAAAGAGAUGCCAAGUGGGAGAGGAAACUGUACGGAUGCAGAGAGAGGAUCUGGGAUAAAGAGAACAAAGAUGCGUGGUCGACUUUAUGGAAACUCGUUUCUUUUUAAUAAGUGAGGUACAUGGUAGAAGACUUUGACAUGUUGAUUAUGGGACUGGGACCAAGGACAACAACUCAAGAAUUGAUUAAAACUACAGUUAUUCCUUGGUUGCCCCAAGGAUGAUCCUGGUACAAUAUGGCUGUUUCCUUUUCACUGGUUAGCCAAGUGAAGCAGUGGGAGUGGAGAAGGAACAAAGAAAUCUGUAAAGUAGUUGUGAUCAAUUAGUUGUAAACACCACUGCACUCAGACUCAGACCAGCUUGCAUUGAUUUUUAUGACCUAAUCUCAGAGGUUGUACAGCGUCACUUCCACUGUACUCUACUUGUUGAAGCAGCUACAAAAACACCACAUUUAAGUAAAGGGGACACUAAUUGGGAGGAGUGUUAGUCACAUUAUAAGAAGAGCAUGUGGAAUGGGAGAUUAAGUAGAGAUAUUAUUGCAGUCAUUUAAGGAAAAUAUAAUCUCUCAUAAUACUAAUAUCUAUUUUCCUUUUGUAAAAAAAAAAAUGUACCAUUUCAGGCUGAGCAUGUUGGCUCACGCCUGUAAUCAUAACAUUUUGGGAGGCUGAAGCCAGUGGAUCACCUGAGGUCAGGAAUUCGAGACCAGCCUGGCCAACAUGGCAAAACCUCGUCUCUGCUAAAAAUACAAAAAUUAGCCGGGUGUGGUGGCAGUCACCUAUAAUCCCAGCUACUCGGAAGGCUGAGGCAGGAGAAUCGCUUGAACCCAGGGGCGGAGGUUGCAGUGAGCUGGUACCACCACUGCACUCCAGCCUGGAUGACAAAGUGAAACUCCGUCUCAAAAAAACAAAACAAAACAAAAACUAAAAUGUACCAUUUCAGAUUUUUUUUCUGAAAUUAAACCUGAAAAGGUCAAAAAACACAUAAAUUACAGUCCCUUUCAAUUACUUACCAUGUACAGGUAUUGUCUAAGUCUAUUGAAGUUCAGACUAUAGUAGUUCAAAAUACCUUAUACAGGGCAGCUUAUAAAAAGCAGAAGUUUAUUUCUCAUAGUUCUGAAGGCUGGGAAGUCCGGGUUCAAGGUUCUGGCAGAUUCAGUGCCUGUCGAGGGACUGCUUUUUGGUUCACAGAUAGUGUCUUCUAGCUGUCUCCUCAUGUGGUAGAAGGGUGCCUUUUUUAUUAGUAUCCCUAGUUUCAUUUAUUUUAUUUUAUUUUUUAGAGACAGGGGUUUUACCAUGUUGCCCAGGCUAGCCUCAAACUCCUGGGCUUGAGUGAUCCUCCCACCUCAGCCUCCCAAGUAGCUGGGACUACAGGCACACGUUAAAACUCCUGGUUCCUAUUAGUGGUUCUUUUAUAAAGGCACUAAUCUCAUCUGUGGCACCAGAGCCCUCAUGACCUAAUUACCUCCCAAAGAUCCCAUCCCCUAAUACCAUCAUAUUGGUGAUGAGGUUUCAAUACAUGAAUUUGGGGGGCUGGGGACACAAACAUUCAGACCACAGUAGGUGUUACAUUGAUAUGAGCUGGUAAGUGUUAACACCUGGCAGCAAUCAGAUACCCAGCCAUAGGUGAAGGCAGGUGAUUAGAAUUACCAGCCAACACAUUUAUGUGCUAGCUAAUUUUUAUUCAAAACUUUCUGAAGCUACAUUCAAAGCAGUUAAUGGGAAAUGGAGUAAAAAAAUAGGCAACCUCUCACUCUAGAUAAUGCUGUUAAAAGUAAUUUUUCCUCCCAGUCAUCUCCUGUAAUGAAUAGUAUAAGAAGGUAUCCUCCCAACGUAGAGGCACCUUGUGUUUCCAAAGUUUUAAUUAGUUGUCAUGAUAAUUUUAUGUGUCAACUUGACUGGGUUAAGGGAUGCCCAAAUAGGUAGUAAAACAUUAUUUCUGGGUGUAUCUGUGAAGGUGUUUCUGGAUAAAAUUAACAUUUGAAUGGGUAGACUGAGUAGAGCAGACUGUCCUCCCCCGUGUGGGUGGCCUUUAUCCAAAUGAUUGAAGGCGAAAAUAGAACAAAAAAGCUGAGUAGAGGGGAUUCCCUCUGCCUGACUACCUUCGAACUGGGACGGUGGCUGUUUCCUGCCUUUGGACUUGAACUGAAACAUCAGCUCUUCCUGAGUCUUGAGCCUCCUGGCUUUUGAACUGAAACAACAGUAAUGGCUCUCCUGGUUCUCAGGCAUUUGGACUUGGACUAGAACUACACCAUCAGUUCUCCUGGGUCUCCAGCUUGCCAAUCUCCAGUUUGCCAACUGCGGAUCUUGGGACUUGUCAGCCUCCAUAACUCCAUGAACCAAUUUUUUGUAAUAAAUCUCUUUCUAUAUGUCUA